AUGUGGCUUUUAGGGAGGAGAUUUUGUUCGUAUACGUGUCUCUGUAUAAAAAUCUGGCAUGUUAUGGCAGUACCCUUCAAAUGAAAGAGAUUUUUGGCUAGUUGUCUGUGUACUGUCACCUUACAGUCCAACUCCUGUUGUAUCUUUUCACAGUCUUUAUUUUUGACCUUCCAAAGAAAUCCAGAAAUAAAAUGUUUCACACAAAAAUUUACAUCAGAUUUGUGAAAAGCACAACAGUUUUUUUGUUGUUGUUAUUUUUUUUAAUAACAGUGAAGAGGAAUAUUAAUGUAGGUGUCAUUCAGAGCUCAUUUUCUCAAUUCUGUGUUAGCGGUGUGAAUUCUGUGAUGCUGUGUAAGCUGUGUAGAGUGAGCCUAGGGGUAGGAUUCCACAGAACUGGGGGCCCAGGCCGAGUCCCUUCCUCGACCUAAUCAGGUCAUUCAAGACAACUGGGUCAGUACAUUUAGGGUAAUACAGGCAUUUUUCUGCUUUCAUCGACCACAUGAUUUUAGGACAGGAAUACUUGACUCUCAUAGCCUUGAUUUGUAAACCAAGAAAUUCUGUUAUUUAUUUCUAACUUUGUGAUAGCAGCUGUUGCCUAAACGUGUAGCAGAAGCCUUGAAAAGUCCCGAUUAUUGUUUUUUUUAGGGCAUUUGAUGUCUAUUAUAUAGGUGACAUACAUCCACUUCAAAUGCAACAUAAACAAGUGAAAUGUUCAUGCUGCCCUUUGUGGGAUGAGGCCACACGUAAAAUCUGAACCUAAAAUUUAGGUGGUUUGUAUAAAAAUCUAAGAGCAGUAUUUGCUAUUUUGUUAAAAGCUAGAAGCAGCCCAGGUGUCCCCUUCUUGACUGUUACUGACCUGCGCUACUGUUUCUCUCCUCAAAUUGAAUGUAGUUCAUGAGGAGAUAAAUAAUCGUCUGUGCUCAGAGAGGUUUUGUAGACUUUAAAUGUAGAGUUCUGCUGCUCCUGUACUAAUACAUCCAGCAUGGAUGGUUUAGCUUUUCUUUGUUUGUUUGUUUUUUGUUUGAUUUUUUUUUUUUUUUUUUACAGUUCUAGGGAUGGGAAAAUAAACAUUGCAGGGUUAUUUUGUUUUUUAAUACUGAAUAUAAGUACUCUUGGUUUGACAUUGUGAAUUUUUUAUUUUUCAUUUUUGUAUUUGACAAAGCACUAUACCUGCAGAACAUCCCCUGAAAUCCUUCCUUUUUUUUUUUUUUUUUUUUUUUUGGAUACAUCUUAACAUAUAAAAAUUAAGUUUUUGCCAUUCAACAUAGUAGUAUCAUAUGGCCUGGAUAUAUUUGAAUGUGUAUGAAGUAAAGUUGCUUGAGAACAGGCUAACCCUUUGAGAGAUGGGCUUUCCAUUUGCAUAAGCUGCUGGGAGGGAGAAGACUGGUUCUGUAACUGCUGUGGCCCAGUGGGGUCUUUUGGCCUGGAUUCUGUCUUGUACUGGUUACACCGGCUCAACUCGGGAAGCAAUAAUCGACUGUUUUAUGUUCACAUCAGCCUUAGAAGUGGAACAGUGCUCACUUACUGUUGACAACAAGUUUUCUUUAUUAAAAUCAAAAAUCUUUAACACU
rnacentral:lncRNA from 1 species